rnacentral:rRNA from 1 species
AUUGAACGCUGGCGGCAUGCCUUACACAUGCAAGUCGAACGGUAACGGGCCUUUGGGUGCCGACGAGUGGCGAACGGGUGAGUAAUACAUCGGAACGUGCCCGAUCGUGGGGGAUAACGAGGCGAAAGCUUUGCUAAUACCGCAUACGAUCUACGGAUGAAAGCAGGGGACCGCAAGGCCUUGCGCGGACGGAGCGGCCGAUGGCAGAUUAGGUAGUUGGUGGGAUAAAAGCUUACCAAGCCGACGAUCUGUAGCUGGUCUGAGAGGAUGAUCAGCCACACUGGGACUGAGACACGGCCCAGACUCCUACGGGAGGCAGCAGUGGGGAAUUUUGGACAAUGGGCGCAAGCCUGAUCCAGCCAUGCCGCGUGCAGGAUGAAGGCCUUCGGGUUGUAAACUGCUUUUGUGCGGAACGAAAAGCCUUCUUUUAAUACAGGAUGGUCAUGACGGUACCGGAAGAAUAAGCACCGGCUAACUACGUG